AAAGCGAUUAAUACCCCAUAGGAAGCUUUAUCCAUGAUUUAGCUUUUAAAGCCUUCGGGCGCUGAGGGAUUGGGAUAUGCUCUAUUAGCUAGUUGGCGGGAUAAAAGCCCACCAAGGCAAUGAUAGAUAGCUGGUCUUAGAGGAUGAACAGCCACAAUGGGAUUGAGAUACGGCCCAUAUUCCUACGGGAAGCAGCAUUAGGGAAUCUUCCACAAUGGAC
rnacentral:rRNA from 1 species